AUUGAACGCUGGCGGAAUGCUUUACACAUGCAAGUCGAACGGCAGCACGAGAGCUUGCUCUUGGUGGCGAGUGGCGAACGGGUGAGUAAUAUAUCGGAACGUAUCCAAUAAUGGGGGAUAACUAAUCGAAAGGUUAGCUAAUACCGCAUACGCCCUACGGGGGAAAGCAGGGGAUCUUCGGACCUUGCGUUAAUGGAGCGGCUGAUAUCUGAUUAGCUAGUAGGUGAGGUAAAGGCUCACCUAGGCUUCGAUCAGUAGCUGGUCUGAGAGGACGACCAGCCACACUGGAACUGAGACACGGUCCAGACUCCUACGGGAGGCAGCAGUGGGGAAUUUUGGACAAUGGGCGCAAGCCUGAUCCAGCCAUUCCGCGUGAGUGAAGAAGGCCUUCGGGUUGUAAAGCUCUUUCGCAAGGGAAGAAACGAUACCGACGAAUAAUCGGUGUUAAUGACGGACCUUGAUAA
rnacentral:rRNA from 1 species